rnacentral:siRNA from 1 species
CGAAAAUGGAUGGCGCUUAA